CAGAGGUCCCGAGCGUUGUUCGGAUUCACUGGGCGUAAAGGGUGCGUAGGUGGUGAGGUAAGUCGGAUGUGAAAGCUCCAAGCUCAACUUGGAAAUGGCAUUGGAAACUACCUUGCUAGAGGGUUUGAGGGGGGACUGGAAUACUUGGUGUAGCAGUGAAAUGCGUAGAUAUCAAGUGGAACACCAGUGGCGAAGGCGAGUCCCUGGAAAACUCCUGACACUGAGGCACGAAAGCUAGGGGAGCAAACAGGAUUAGAUACCCUGGUAGUCCUAGCCGUAAACGGUGCGUAUUUGCUGUAAAAGGAAUCGACCCCUUUUGUGGCGUAGCCAACGCGUUAAAUACGCCGCCUGGGAAGUACGGUCGCAAGAUUA
rnacentral:rRNA from 1 species